rnacentral:rRNA from 1 species
UACGUAGGGUGCAAGCGUUAAUCGGAAUUACUGGGCGUAAAGCGCACGUAGGCGGCUUUGCAAGUUAGAGGUGAAAGCCCGGGGCUCAACUCCGGAAUUGCCUUUAAAACUGCAUCGCUAGAAUUGUGGAGAGGUAAGUGGAAUUCCGAGUGUAGAGGUGAAAUUCGUAGAUAUUCGGAAGAACACCAGUGGCGAAGGCGACUUACUGGACACAUAUUGACGCUGAGGUGCGAAAGCGUGGGGAUCAAACGGG